GUAUAAGGUUUGUAGGCACAAAGGCCCUUUUCAAUUACAUUCUAUAACAUAAAUGGUGUAUAUGAAGAAAACAUAGGCCUGGAAAUGUAAGGAAAAAGUCAAAAGCCAAUUCCUCAAACCUGAAUGCCAGGCAUUCAGAAAGAUAUCCAGAUCUACAAAAGGUGCACAGGUGGAGAGAUAUAAAGAUGACAAGUGUGCACAUGCUCCCUAGAGAGCCAGCAGCAACCCAUCAGGUUUAUUUCAAUAAUGAUCCUUCCGCAGGUUCACCUACGGAAA
rnacentral:misc_RNA from 1 species